CCUACGGGCGGCAGCAGUGGGGAAUAUUGGACAAUGGGGGAAACCCUGAUCCAGCGACGCCGCGUGAGUGAAGAAGUAUUUCGGUACGUAAAGCCCUAUCAGCAGGAAAGAAAAUGACGGUACCUGACUAAGAAGCCCCGGCUAACUACGUGCCAGCAGCCGUGGGAAUAUGUAGGGGGCAAGCGUUAUCCGGAUUUACUGGGUGUAAAGGGAGCGUAGACGGCAGCGCAAGUCUGGAGUGAAAUGCCGGGGCCCAACCCCGGAACUGCUCUGGAAACUGAGGAGCUGGAGUGGGGGAGAGGUAAGCGGAAUGCCUGGUGUAGCGGUGAAAUGCGUAGAUAUCAGGAAGAACACCGACGGCGAAGGCGGCAUACUGGACUGUAACUGACGUUGAGGCUCGAAGGCGUGGGUAGCAAACAGGAUUAGAUACCCGAGUAGUC
rnacentral:rRNA from 1 species